GGCGAACGGGUGAGUAACACGUGGGCAAUCUGCCCUUCACUCUGGGACAAGCCCUGGAAACGGGGUCUAAUACCGGAUACGAGCCUCCUCCGCAUGGGGGAGGUUGGAAAGCUCCGGCGGUGCAGGAUGAGCCCGCGGCCUAUCAGCUUGUUGGUGAGGUAACGGCUCACCAAGGCGACGACGGGUAGCCGGCCUGAGAGGGCGACCGGCCACACUGGGACUGAGACACGGCCCAGACUCCUACGGGAGGCAGCAGUGGGGAAUAUUGCACAAUGGGCGCAAGCCUGAUGCAGCGACGCCGCGUGAGGGAUGACGGCCUUCGGGUUGUAAACCUCUUUCAGCAGGGAAGAAGCGCAAGUGACGGUACCUGCAGAAGAAGCGCCGGCUAACUACGUGCCAGCAGCCGCGGUAAUACGUAGGGCGCAAGCGUUGUCCGGAAUUAUUGGGCGUAAAGAGCUCGUAGGCGGCUUGUCGCGUCGGUUGUGAAAGCCCGGGGCUUAACCCCGGGUCUGCAGUCGAUACGGGCAGGCUAGAGUUCGGUAGGGGAGAUCGGAAUUCCUGGUGUAGCGGUGAAAUGCGCAGAUAUCAGGAGGAACACCGGUGGCGAAGGCGGAUCUCUGGGCCGAUACUGACGCUGAGGAGCGAAAGCGUGGGGAGCGAACAGGAUUAGAUACCCUGGU
rnacentral:rRNA from 1 species